GCUGAUGUAGCUCAGUUGGUAGAGCACUUCCUUGGUAAGGAAGAGGUCACCAGUUCAAUCCUGGUCAUCAGCU